rnacentral:rRNA from 1 species
AUUGAACGCUGGCGGCAGGCCUAACACAUGCAAGUCGCACGGUAACAGGAAACAGCUUGCUGUUUCGCUGACGAGUGGCGGACGGGUGAGUAAUGUCUGGGAAACUGCCUGAUGGAGGGGGAUAACUACUGGAAACGGUAGCUAAUACCGCAUAACGUCGCCAGACCAAAGAGGGGGACCUUCGGGCCUCUUGCCAUCGGAUGUGCCCAGAUGGGAUUAGCUAGUAGGUGGGGUAACGGCUCACCUAGGCGACGAUCCCUAGCUGGUCUGAGAGGAUGGCCAGCCACACUGGAACUGAGAUACGGUCCAGACUCCUACGGGAGGCAGCAGUGGGGAAUAUAGCACAAUGGGCGCAAGCCAGAUGCAGCCAUGCCGCGUGUAUGAAGAAGGGCUUCGGGUUGUAGAGUACAUCCAGCGGGGAGGAAGGGAGUAAAGUUAAUACCUUGACUUAUUGACGUUACCCGAAGAAGAAGCACCGGCUAACUCCGUG